rnacentral:rRNA from 1 species
CCUACGGGUGGCAGCAGUGGGGGAUAUUGCACAAUGGGGGAAACCCUGAUGCAGCGACGCCGCGUGGGUGAAGAAGCGCCUCGGCGCGUAAAGCCCUGUCAGCAGGGAAGAAAAUGACGGUACCUGAAGAAGAAGCCACGGCUAACUACGUGCCAGCCGCCGCGGUAAUACGUAGGGGGCAAGCGUUAUCCGGAUUUACUGGGUGUAAAGGGGGCGCAGACGGCGAUGCAAGCCAGGAGGGAAAGCCCGGGGCCAAACCCCGGGACUGCUCUUGGAACUGCGUGGCUAGAGUGCAGGAGGGGCAGGCGGAAUUCCUGGUGUAGCGGUGAAAUGCGUAGAUAUCAGGAGGAACCCCGGUGGCGAAGGCGGCCUGCUGGACUGCAACUGACGUUGAGGCCCGAAAGCGUGGGGAGCAAACAGGAUUAGAUACCCUAGUAGUC